rnacentral:rRNA from 1 species
GAACGCUCGUAGCAAUACGGGAGUGGCAGACGGGUGAGUAACGCGUGCGGAACAUACCCUCCGGUUCGGAAUAGCUCAGGGUAAACUUGGUAUUAAUACCGGAUACGGCCGAGAGGCGAAAGAUUUAUCGCCGGAGGAUUGGCCCGCGUUCGAUUAGCUUGUUGGUGAGGUAAUGGCUCACCAAGGCGAUGAUCGAUAGCUGGUCUGAGAGGAUGAUCAGCCACAUUGGGACUGAGACACGGCCCAAACUCCUACGGGAGGCAGCAGUGGGGAAUAUUGGACAAUGGGCGCAAGCCUGAUCCAGCCAUGCCGCGUGAGUGAUGACGGCCUUAGGGUUGUAAAGCUCUUUCGCUCGGGACGAUAAUGACGGUACCGAGAUAAGAAGCCCCGGCUAACUUCGUGCCAGCAGCCGCGGUAAU